rnacentral:rRNA from 1 species
UAAGGAAUAUUGGUCAAUGGACGCAAGUCUGAACCAGCCAUGCCGCGUGAAGGAUGAAGGUCCUCUGGAUUGUAAACUUCUUUUAUCUGGGACGAAAACGGGAUUUUUAUCUCAAUUGACGGUACCAGAGGAAUAAGCACCGGCUAACUCCGUGCCAGCAGCCGCGGUAAUACGGAGGGUGCGAGCGUUAUCCGGAUUUACUGGGUUUAAAGGGUGCGUAGGUGGGUAUGUAAGUCAGUGGUGAAAUCCCCGAGCUUAACUUGGGAACUGCCAUUGAUACUAUAUACCUUGAAUACCGUAGAGGUAAGCGGAAUAUGUCAUGUAGCGGUGAAAUGCUUAGAUAUGACAUGGAACACCAAUUGCGAAGGCAGCUUACUAUGCGGUGAUUGACACUGAGGCACGAAAGCGUGGGUAGCAAACA